AUUGAACGCUGGCGGCAGGCCUAACACAUGCAAGUCGAGCGAGAGGCGGACGGGUGAGUAAUGUAUGGGAAACUGCCUGAUGGAGGGGGCUACAACUUGAAAAGGGUAGCAAUUCCGCCAUACAAUAGGAUUUACCAAAAUGGGAUUAGCUUGUAGGUGAGGUAACGGCUCACCAAGGCGACGAUCCCUAGCUGGUCUGAGAGGAUGAUCAGCCACACUGGGACUGAGACACGGCCCAGACUCCUACGGGAGGCAGCAGUGGGGAAUAUUGCACAAUGGGCGCAAGCCUGAUGCAGCCAUGCCGCGUGUAUGAAGAAGGCCUUCGGGUUGUAAAGUACUUUCAGUCGGGAGGCGUUACCGACAGAAGAAGCACCGGCUAACUCCGUGCCAGCAGCCGCGGUAAUAC
rnacentral:rRNA from 1 species